GACGAACGCUGGCGGCGUGCUUAACACAUGCAAGUCGAACGGUAAGGCCCUUCGGGGUACACGAGUGGCGAACGGGUGAGUAACACGUGGGUGAUCUGCCCUGCACUUCGGGAUAAGCCUGGGAAACUGGGUCUAAUACCGGAUAGGACCACUGCCUGCAUGGGUGGUGGUGGAAAGCUUUUGCGGUGUGGGAUGGGCCCGCGGCCUAUCAGCUUGUUGGUGGGGUGAUGGCCUAGCAAGGCGACGACGGGUAGCCGGCCUGUGAGGGUGACCGGCCACACUGGCACUGGGAUACGGCCCAGACUCGUACGGGGGGCAGCAGUGGGGAAUAUUGCACAAUGGGCGCAAGCCUGAUGCAGCGACGCCGCGUGAGGUAUGACGGCCUUCGGGUUGUAAACCUCUUUCAGCACCGACGAAGCGCAAGUGACGGUAGGUGCAGAAGAAGGACCGGCCAACUACGUGCCCGCAGCCGCAGUAA
rnacentral:rRNA from 1 species